GUGGGAAAUCUGCCCAGAAGCAGGGGAUAACACUUGGAAACAGGUGCUAAUACCGUAUAACAACAAAAUCCGCAUGGAUUUUGUUUGAAAGGUGGCUUCGGCUAUCACUUCUGGAUGAUCCCGCGGCGUAUUAGUUAGUUGGUGAGGUAAAGGCCCACCAAGACGAUGAUACGUAGCCGACCUGAGAGGGUAAUCGGCCACAUUGGGACUGAGACACGGCCCAAACUCCUACGGGAGGCAGCAGUAGGGAAUCUUCCACAAUGGACGAAAGUCUGAUGGAGCAAUGCCGCGUGAGUGAAGAAGGGUUUCGGCUCGUAAAACUCUGUUGUUAAAGAAGAACACCUUUGAGAGUAACUGUUCAAGGGUUGACGGUAUUUAACCAGAAAGCCACGGCUAACUACGUGCCAGCAGCCGCGGUAAUACGUAGGUGGCAAGCGUUGUCCGGAUUUAUUGGGCGUAAAGCGAGCGCAGGCGGUUUUUUAAGUCUGAUGUGAAAGCCUUCGGCUUAACCGGAGAAGUGCAUCGGAAACUGGGAGACUUGAGUGCAGAAGAGGACAGUGGAACUCCCAUGUGUAGCGGUGGAAUGCGUAGAUAUAUGGAAGAACACCAGUGGCGAAGGCGGCUGUCUAGUCUGUAACUGACGCUGAGGCUCGAAAGCAUGGGUAGCGAACAGGAUUAGAUACCCUGGUAGUCCAUGCCGUAAACGAUGAGUGCUAAGUGUUGGAGGGUUUCCGCCCUUCAGUGCUGCAGCUAACGCAUUAAGCACUCCGCCUGGGGAGUACGACCGCAAGGUUGAAACUCAAAGGAAUUGACGGGGGCCCGCACAAGCGGUGGAGCAUGUGGUUUAAUUCGAAGCUACGCGAAGAACCUUACCAGGUCUUGACAUCUUCUGCCAAUCUUAGAGAUAAGACGUUCCCUUCGGGGACAGAAUGACAGGUGGUGCAUGGUUGUCGUCAGCUCGUGUCGUGAGAUGUUGGGUUAAGUCCCGCAACGAGCGCAACCCUUAUUAUCAGUUGCCAGCAUUCAGUUGGGCACUCUGGUGAGACUGCCGGUGACAAACCGGAGGAAGGUGGGGAUGACGUCAAAUCAUCAUGCCCCUUAUGACCUGGGCUACACACGUGCUACAAUGGACGGUACAACGAGUCGCGAAGUCGUGAGGCUAAGCUAAUCUCUUAAAGCCGUUCUCAGUUCGGAUUGUAGGCUGCAACUCGCCUACAUGAAGUUGGAAUCGCUAGUAAUCGCGGAUCAGCAUGCCGCGGUGAAUACGUUC
rnacentral:rRNA from 2 species